rnacentral:rRNA from 1 species
AUGCAGUCGAACGGUAACAGGUCUUCGGAUGCUGACGAGUGGCGAACGGGUGAUUAAUACAUCGGAACGUGCCCGAUCGUGGGGGAUAACGAAGCGAAAGCUUUGCUAAUACCGCAUAAGAUCUAAGGAUGAAAGCAGGGGACCGCAAGGCCUUGCGCGAACGGAGCGGCCGAUGGCAGAUUAGGUAGUUGGUGGGAUAAAAGCUUACCAAGCCGACGAUCUGUAGCUGGUCUGAGAGGACGACCAGCCACACUGGGACUGAGACACGGCCCAGACUCCUACGGGAGGCAGCAGUGGGGAAUUUUGGACAAUGGGCGAAAGCCUGAUCCAGCCAUGCCGCGUGCAGGAUGAAGGCCUUCGGGUUGUAAACUGCUUUUGUACGGAACGAAAAGACUCUGGUUAAUACCUGGGGUCCAUGACGGUACCGUAAGAAUAAGCACCGGCUAACUGCGUGCCAGCAGCCGCGGUAAUACGUAGGGUGCAAGCGUUAAUCGGAAUUACUGGGCGUAAAGCGUGCGCAGGCGGUUAUAUAAGACAGAUGUGGAAUCCCCGGGCUCAACCUGGGAACUGCAUUUGUGACUGUAUAGCUAGAGUACGGUAGAGGGGGAUGGAAUUCCGCGUGUAGCAGUGAAAUGCGUAGAUAUGCGGAGGAACACCGAUGGCGAAGGCAAUCCCCUGGACCUGUACUGACGCUCAUGCACG